ACACAUGCAAGUCGAACGAUGAACCUGGAGCUUGCUCUAGGGGAUUAGUGGCGAACGGGUGAGUAACACGUGAGUAACCUGCCCUUGACUCUGGGAUAACCUCCGGAAACGGAAGCUAAUACCGGAUAUGACGCACGGAGGCAUCUCCUGUGCGUGGAAAGAAUUUCGGUCAAGGAUGGACUCGCGGCCUAUCAGGUAGUUGGUGAGGUAACGGCCCACCAAGCCUACGACGGGUAGCCGGCCUGAGAGGGUGACCGGCCACACUGGGACUGAGACACGGCCCAGACUCCUACGGGAGGCAGCAGUGGGGAAUAUUGCACAAUGGGCGAAAGCCUGAUGCAGCAACGCCGCGUGAGGGACGACGGCCUUCGGGUUGUAAACCUCUUUUAGUAGGGAAGAAGCGAAAGUGACGGUACCUGCAGAAAAAGCACCGGCUAACUACGUGCCAGCAGCCGCGGUAAUACGUAGGGUGCGAGCGUUGUCCGGAAUUAUUGGGCGUAAAGAGCUCGUAGGCGGUCUGUCGCGUCUGCUGUGAAAUCCCGAGGCUCAACCUCGGGCCUGCAGUGGGUACGGGCAGACUAGAGUGCGGUAGGGGAGAAUGGAAUUCCUGGUGUAGCGGUGGAAUGCGCAGAUAUCAGGAGGAACACCGAUGGCGAAGGCAGUUCUCUGGGCCGUAACUGACGCUGAGGAGCGAAAGCGUGGGGAGCGAACAGGAUUAGAUACCCUGGUAGUCCACGCCGUAAACGUUGGGCGCUAGAUGUGGGGACCAUUCCACGGUUUCCGUGUCGCAGCUAACGCAUUAAGCGCCCCGCCUGGGGAGUACGGCCGCAAGGCUAAAUCA
rnacentral:rRNA from 2 species